UACGUAGGUGGCAAGCGUUAUCCGGAAUUAUUGGGCGUAAAGCGCGCGCAGGCGGUUUCUUAAGUCUGAUGUGAAAGCCCACGGCUUAACCGUGGAAGGUCAUUGGAAACUGGGAGACUUGAGUGCAGAAGAGAAGAGCGGAAUUCCACGUGUAGCGGUGAAAUGCGUAGAGAUGUGGAGGAACACCAGUGGCGAAGGCGGCUCUUUGGUCUGUAACUGACGCUGAGGCGCGAAAGCGUGGGGGAUCAAACAGG
rnacentral:rRNA from 1 species